rnacentral:tRNA from 1 species
GGGUUGUUAGUAAAACAAUUACAUAACCUUGUCAAGGCUAAAUCGCAGGUGAAAUCCCUGCACACCC